UGUAAAUUUGUUAAAAUAUCAAUAUAUUUGUUGGAUUUUUUUUGUUAAUUUUUUUAUAUUUAUAAUGUGGGUUGUGUCGAUGAUUGCGGAGACUCAUCGAGCUCCUUUUGAUUUUGCUGAAGGGGAUUCAGCAUUAGUUUCUCAUUUUAAUGUAGAGAUC